AUUAAUAAUUAAUAUAUUUAAUAAAAAUAAUUUUAAUUUAAUAAGUAUUUUAAUGGGGGUUAAAGUAUUUUUUAAAGAAAAAAUUUUUAAAUUUAUAGUUAAUUAGUAUUGUGAAAGAAUUUUGAAAUAUUAUGAAAAAUAAAAUUUUUAGAAAGUAAUUUUUAUUUAUUGUAUCUUGUGUAUCAGAGUUUAUUAAAAAUUUUUAAUUUAUGAAUUAAUUUCUCGAAUUUAAAAGAGUUAAAUAAUUAUUAAAGUUAUUGUAGCAAAAUUAUUUUAAAUAAUUAUUUAGAAAUGAAAUGUUAAUCGUUUUUAAAUAUAUCUAGUUUUUAUAGAAAAAAAUUUAAUUUUAAAUUUAAAAAUUAUUUAAUUAAUUUAUUAAUUAAAUAGUUACUUAAAUUUUAUAAUUUAAGGGAUAAGCUUUAAAUUAAAUUUUUAUAAUAUUAAAUUUUUAUUUUGAAAAUUUUAUAAUUUAUAUUGUUAAUAAAUUUUAUUUUGUUAUAAAUAAUUUCAUUUUUUUUAAAAUUUAAAUUUUAUUUAAUUUUUUAUAUAAAAUUUAUUUAUAAUUAUAUAAAGUUAAUUAUAAUGAUAAAAUUAGUAUAUUAUUUAAUAUUAAAUUAAAAUUAAUUUUUGAUUAAUAAUUAAAUUAAUUAAAAGGAAUUCGGCAAAUAUUUAUUUUCACUUGUUUAUCAAAAACAUGUCUUUUUGUUAUUUAAUUUAAAGUCUAAUCUGCCCACUGAUUUAUAAAAAUUGAAGGGCUGCAGUAUAUUGACUGUACAAAGGUAGCAUAAUCAUUAGUCUUUUAAUUGGUGACUUGUAUGAAAGAUUGGAUGAAAAAUAUACUGUCUCUUAAUUAAUAUAUAGAAUUUAAUUUUUUAUUUAAAAAGUUAAAAUAACUUAAAAAGACGAGAAGACCCUAUAGAGUUUAAUAAAUUAUUUUAUGAAAGUUUUAUUUAUAUUUAUUAAUAAUUUUAUAAAUUUAUUUAUUUAGUUGGGGUGAUAAAAAAAUAAAUUUAACUUUUUUUAAGUAAUUUACAUGGAUAAGUGAUUAAU
rnacentral:rRNA from 1 species